UGUUGCGAUUUCCAUCUUGAAUUUCCCAGAAUUAAGGCACGACACGUAACACACACCGCACUAUAUAAUUAACGUUUGCUUAUGCUCAACGUUGUCAUUUUUCACAAAUUUAGUCUGGGAUCGUUUUUUGCCCUUCGUGAGCAGACGCACUUCACUCACAAAAACUAUGCAAAACCUGACUGGCUGACUCACAAUGCAAGCAAUAGAAAAUAGAAAAAUACACACAUACAAAAAUAGUGCACGAGGUCAGGUGGGGAGGGUAAAGGAAAGGGAGGGAUCAACACGUACACUGCAUGAACUCUCACCAAACCUAUCAAUCAUCAUGCGCGUGUUCUGUUCUAACUUGUUCUUUUUGGACGUACAAAUUCUGCUUAUUCUGCUGCUUGUAUGUGCAAAGUAAAUACCGUAAAUACAACAGAGAAGGGAGAAAUAGAGAGAAACUGUGGAAUUUGUGGAUGAGCCUUGGUCGCCUUGGAGGAAUGGAAUUUCACCAGUGAAUGCUCGCUCUGCAAGUCUACGGGCUGCAAUAAAACUGAUAAAGAUGGAUCAAUUAAUGCGCCCUUUGAUAAGGAGUGUCCGCUGUCUGGACACGGAGGAUGACUCGAGGUCAUCUCAUUUCCAGGCAGUUUAAAUAACAAAAUCGUCUGAUGAUUCGCCAUGAGAUAUUUUUGCGUGAAAUUUUAAAGCUUCGGGAAAGAUUGAAUUGAAAGGAAAUGAAAAUGUAAUAACGAUAUUUUUGUUGUGCAUAAAUGAGCGGAG